rnacentral:rRNA from 1 species
CUCUGUCCUUGGGACCAGGCCCUGCAUUUCUUUCUUAAAUUUGAGAUAGUUAAGCCUCCUUUACGGGAGGUUAUCUUGGGAUUUUACCUUGAAUAAAUUAGGGUGUUCAAAGCAGGCGACCGUCUGAAUACAUUAGCAUGGGAUAAUAAAAUAUGACCUUUGGUUGAUACUUGUUGGUUCUACAACCGAGGUAAUGAUUAAAAGGGACAGUUGAGGUCGUCCAUAUUCAGUGGUAAGAGGUGAAAUUCUAUGACCCACUGAGGAUGAACUAAUGCGAAAGCAUUCGACAAGGAUGUUUUCUUUAAUCAAGAACGAAAGUUAUGGGAUCGAAGAUGAUCAGAUACCGUCGUAGUCAUAACCGUAAACUAUGUUGACUCAGGAUCGGGAGAUGUUACAUGGAUGACUCUUCCGGCACUGUGUGCGAAAGCAGAAGUAUUCGAACUCCGGGGGGAGUAUGGUCGCAAGGCUGAAACUUAAAGGAAUUGACGGAAGGGCACCACCAGGAGUGGAACCUGCGGCUUAAUUUGACUCAACACGGGGAAACUCACCCAGUCCAGACACAACGAGGAUUGACAGAUUGAUAGCUCUUUCUUGAUUUUGUGGAAGCCGGUGCAUGGCCGUUUUUAGUUGGUGGAGUGAUUUGUCUGGUUAAGUCCGAUAACGAACGAGACCUUCUUCUAUUAAAUAGUAAGACAAACAAGGUGCCCUUGGGCAAUGGGGGCUUGCUCCUUGAGU